GACGAACGCUGGCGGCGUGCUUAACACAUGCAAGUCGAGCGGUAAGGCCCUUUCGGGGGUACACAGCGGCGAACGGGUGAGUAACACGUGGGUGACCUGCCCUUAGCUCUGGGAUAAGCCUGGGAAACUGGGUCUAAUACCGGAUAUGACUCCAUGACGCAUGUUGUGGGGUGGAAANCCCUUGUGCGGCUAGGGAUGGGCCCGCGGCCUAUCAGCUUGUUGGUGGGGUGAUGGCCUGCCAAAGGCGACGACGGUAGCCGGCCUGAGAGGGCGACCGGCCACACUGGGACUGAGACACGGCCCAGACUCCUACGGGAGGCAGCAGUGGGGAAUCUUGCGCAAU
rnacentral:rRNA from 1 species